AAAAAAACAGAAAACAAAUGUGAUGGAUGACUAAAAAUCGCCCAUAAAACCGCACAAUUGAAAUAAAUUGUGAAAGGAUUAUGUUUUGUUGUUAGUGCAGCAAAUUACUUUAAUUAAACUUAAUAAAGAAAUAAUUUGUGCAAAAAAAAAAAA